rnacentral:rRNA from 1 species
GUUUGAUCCUGGCUCAGAAUCAACGCUGGCGGCGUGCCUAACACAUGCAAGUCGCACGAGAAAGGGACUUCGGUCUUGAGUACAGUGGCGCACGGGUGAGUAACACGUGAAUAAUCUACCUCCGAGUGGGGAAUAACUGAGAGAAAUCUUAGCUAAUACCGCAUAACACUUACGAGUCAAAGCAGCAAUGCGCUUGGAGAGGAGUUCGCGGCCGAUUAGUUAGUUGGCGGGGUAAUGGCCCACCAAGACGAUGAUCUGUAUCCGGCCUGAGAGGGCGCACGGACACACUGGAACUGAAACACGGUCCAGACUCCUACGGGAGGCAGCAGUGGGGAAUUUUGCGCAAUGGGGGAAACCCUGACGCAGCAACGCCGCGUGGAGGAUGAAAUCUCUUGGUAUGUAAA